UGACCGCAGAGGAAGAGG
rnacentral:snRNA from 1 species